UGGGGAAUAUUGGACAAUGGGCGCAAGCCUGAUCCAGCCAUGCCGCGUGAGUGAUGAAGGCCCUAGGGUUGUAAAGCUCUUUCACCGGUGAAGAUAAUGACGGUAACCGGAGAAGAAGCCCCGGCUAACUUCGUGCCAGCAGCCGCGGUAAUACGAAGGGGGCUAGCGUUGUUCGGAUUUACUGGGCGUAAAGCGCACGUAGGCGGACUUUUAAGUCAGGGGUGAAAUCCCGGGGCUCAACCCCGGAACUGCCUUUGAUACUGGAAGUCUUGAGUAUGGUAGAGGUGAGUGGAAUUCCGGGUGUAGAGGUGAAAUUCGUAGAUAUUCGGAGGAACACCAGUGGCGAAGGCGGCUCACUGGACCAGUACUGACGCUGAGGUGCGAAAGCGUGGGGAGCAAACAGGA
rnacentral:rRNA from 1 species